AGUCANAANAGGAGAAGUGNAAUUCCACGUGUAACCGGUGAAAUGCGUAGAGAUGUGGAGGAACACCAUGUGGCGAAGGCGACUCUCUGGUCUGUAACUGACGCUGAGGAGCGAAAGCGUGGGGAGCGAACAGGAUUAGAUACCCUGGUAGUCCACGCCGUAAACGAUGAGUGCUAAGUGUUAGGGGGUUUCCGCCCCUUAGUGCUGCAGCUAACGCAUUAAGCACUCCGCCUGGGGAGUACGGUCGCAAGACUGAAACUCAAAGGAAUUGACGGGGGCCCGCACAAGCGGUGGAGCAUGUGGUUUAAUUCGAAGCAACGCGAAGAACCUUACCAGGUCUUGACAUCCUCUGACAACCCUAGAGAUAGGGCUUUCCCUUCGGGGACAGAGUGACAGGUGGUGCAUGGUUGUCGUCAGCUCGUGUCGUGAGAUGUUGGGUUAAGUCCCGCAACGAGCGCAACCCUUGAUCUUAGUUGCCAGCAUUCAGUUGGGCACUCUAAGGUGACUGCCGGUGACAAACCGGAGGAAGGUGGGGAUGACGUCAAAUCAUCAUGCCCCUUAUGACCUGGGCUACACACGUGCUACAAUGGACAGAACAAAGGGCUGCGAGACCGCAAGGUUUAGCCAAUCCCAUAAAUCUGUUCUCAGUUCGGAUCGCAGUCUGCAACUCGACUGCGUGAAGCUGGAAUCGCUAGUAAUCGCGGAUCAGCAUGCCGCGGUAGGA
rnacentral:rRNA from 1 species